AUGUUCGAUUCAGGGUCCCAAGUGCCAGCCUUUGUAUCACUGUGGUGGACUUUUGGUGGAGGAACCAGACUGGAUGUUGGAAGUGAUGCCCGUCCCACCCUGACGGUGCUGCCCCCCUCCACUGAGCAGCUGCAGCAGGGGACGGCCACGCUCAUGUGCCUGGCCAACAAGGGCUUCCCCUCAGACUGGAGUCUGGCCUGGAAGGUGGACGGCAGCAGCAGCAGCAGCAGCAGCAGCAUCAGCUGGGAGCAGAGCAGCAGCCCCGGGGUGCUGGAGAAGGACGGCCACUACAGCUGGAGCAGCACCCUGAGGCUCUCUGCAGACCAGUGGAGGAAGGUGGGCUCUGUGACCUGUGAGGCCACCCAGGGCUCCCAGACUCCGCUCUCAGAGACUCUGAGGAGAGACCAGUGUCCCCAGUCCUGAUCUGACUCACUGGUUUUACUCUGCUACUGCUCUCAGUCUGCACUCUUUCUCUGUUUCUCUCAUGAUGUUUCAACAUUAACUUGUUCUUGCUUGUGUUGUUAGUUUUAACAUUUUCAAACAAUAAAGAAUUCCAUCGUAGAUUAUAAAAGUGACGGGUCUUUUGAAUUCCUUUCUUUUACAAGUGUUAUAUAU